rnacentral:rRNA from 1 species
AUUUGGCGGACGGGUGAGUAACACGUGGGCAACCUACCCUAUAGUUUGGGAUAACUCCGGGAAACCGGGGCUAAUACCGAAUAAUCUCUUUUGCUUCAUGGUAAAAGACUGAAAGACGGUUUCGGCUGUCGCUAUAGGAUGGGCCCGCGGCGCAUUAGCUAGUUGGUGAGGUAACGGCUCACCAAGGCGACGAUGCGUAGCCGACCUGAGAGGGUGAUCGGCCACACUGGGACUGAGACACGGCCCAGACUCCUACGGGAGGCAGCAGUAGGGAAUCUUCCACAAUGGGCGAAAGCCUGAUGGAGCAACGCCGCGUGAGUGAAGAAGGUUUUCGGAUCGUAAAACUCUGUUGUAAGGGAAGAACAAGUACAGUAGUAACUGGCUGUACCUUGACGGUACCUUAUUAGAAAGCCACGGCUAACUACGUGCCAGCAGCCGCGGUAAUAAU